GAUGAACGCUGGCGGCGUGCCUAAUACAUGCAAGUCGAGCGAACGGACGAGAAGCUUGCUUCUCUGAUGUUAGCGGCGGACGGGUGAGUAACACGUGGAUAACCUACCUAUAAGACUGGGAUAACUUCGGGAAACCGGAGCUAAUACCGGAUGAUAUUUUGAACCGCAUGGUUCAAAAGUGAAAGACGGUCUUGCUGUCACUUAUAGAUGGAUCCGCGCUGCAUUAGCUAGUUGGUAAGGUAACGGCUUACCAAGGCAACGAUGCAUAGCCGACCUGAGAGGGUGAUCGGCCACACUGGAACUGAGACACGGUCCAGCCUCCUACGGGAGGCAGCAGUAGGGAAUCUUCCGCGAUGGGCGAAAGCCUGACGGAGCAACGCCGCGUGAGUGAUGAAGGUCUUCGGAUCGUAAAACUCUGUUAUUAGGGAAGAACAUAUGUGUAAGUAACUGUGCACAUCUUGACGGUACCUAAUCAGAAAGCCACGGCUAACUACGUG
rnacentral:rRNA from 1 species